UCUGUCCAUCAGCGCGGGCAGGCCAGGCCAGGCGGCCUCUGUCGCUGAGGAGGUCACCCUCAGUGUGGGAGCGAUGGGCUCUGCCCAGCAGCGCGGGCAGGCCAAGCAGGCUUGGCAGCCUCUGUCGCUGAGGAGGUCACCCUCAGUGCGGGUGUGGUGGUCUCUGCCCAGCAGACGGUGAUAGCUUCCUCACAUGCUGCCCCCAGACUGUGCUUGAGGGAAGGCCUGCAAGCACUCAAGCAUCCGGCUGCAGAGCAGGCUCAACUGUGAUAGAAAUGCUGAAGGGCAGCACAAGAGCUCACCUGUGAGAGAUGUGCCUGGGUAGAGCUGCUUAUCUGAUGGGUAACAGGUGAGCAGGGUGAGAAGCAUCAGGGAGUCAGAGAUAGAUUGGUGCGGUCACAGCCUGCCUUCCCCACAGCAGACUUGGUAGUCAGAGCUCACAGUGAGAGAAAAUGGAAACAGGUUCCUGUUUGGUGCAGCAGGCAACUCUUCCUCACAGCCUCUCCCACAUCUCUGCUUCUACAUAAGAGGCAGUGGAUGCUGAAGUACACUGGAAGAAUGGCAAAGAUGGAAAUGCUCCCAAGCAGCUACCAGAGCCUCCACAGCAGCCCCAGGAAGAACAGGAGACUAUUGGAGAAGCCACUACAAAGAGCUCACUGUGCAAGCCCCUCCAACAGCGUCCUGUUCCAAAGCAGAGCAUCCCAUCCAUGGGGCAAAAGCUGCUGCAUCUGCUCUGCAGAGCCCCACCAAAGACAAAGAAAAUAAGAGGCAGAGGAGGAGAUCUGAAGGGCUUCCAAAAGAACACAUUCUCUUGUAGCUGUAGAUCUCAACUGGGAUGUUCACUGGCCCUUGCAGAGGCUUUGCAGUACUCCUGAGUCCAGUGACCAGACUGAGGACUCCCUGAGGGUGUAAUAGGAAUGUCCACGAUGGGCAGGGGAGCAGGCAAGAGAGGAGCAGUUCAGAGAAGACAGCUUAGACUUCUUCUGCAUGCCUCAAAAUGCUGACCUUGGCUUUGAAACUCUUUCAUCUGCCCUGCUUGUGUUUCAUCUCUUUACUUUGAAUCCUUUGGCAUGAUUUGUUUUAUCUGGAUUUGAUAAUUUAGGUGUUUUUUUUUUAAAGCCAUUCUGCAGGGUUAGAUAAAUUCAGUGAACAUUUUAGUCACGUGAAAUUUGAUUGCUCUUCAAAUAGCAAACAAGAACUGUGUUUGGUUUGGCAGCCUGAAGGGAAGGUCUUUAAGGAUGUACUUGGUCAAAGUGCCAUGAAGAAAAACAUUUGUCCACGGAAGAUGUAUUUUCUGUUUCUCCUCAGGUGUCUGUGAAUUGAAUUUGUGUAUUCUGUAGCAAAGCUCUGCUUGUCCAGCACACUGUAGCCCAUUCAGGCUGACAGAAUGGCCAAAGGGGUGGAUAUCAUACUGCCUGGCUUUUCCUAAUCCCCACUGAUUAAACUCCAGAUGUCAAAUA